AUUGGCAAUCAAGGGUGGGAUUUAUUUUCCAGUGUUCACAACCACGAAAUCAAAAGUGAGUCGACUAGUGUCUAUUGAUUCAUUCAGAUUCGUGGGUGGCGGCGAGGCGCGAGGACGUGGCCUCUGCGGGGCGCCGUCAGUAGAGUUACCUGUAGCGCGGUGGGCCUCCCUCGCCUGAGUCCGGAGCUUCGCCAAGCAGAAGGAAGCGAGUCUGCGCACUGACUCUUGCCGCCCAGAGACGGGAGGUCCACCAUGCCCUGAGGACUCUGUAUAACGUGACGGGACUCCUCUUCCCCUCAAGGCGCCAUCCCAAUCAUGGGGAAGGUAGAAUAAUCUCCCCUGUGUCUACCUGUGGAUGCUUCCUGGCUCCUCGGAUCCCCUGGGCCACAGCAGCAUUCCCGCUCCGCUCACCUUUUCCUGCGAGUCUACAUAGUACCGAGCGAUAAACAAUGAUAUGCAGUGGUGUGGAGGACAGAAAAAGAGGCUGGAGUGAAAAAAAGGAGGAUAUAUGGCUGAAUAAAUCCACAAUCCUAAA